AACGAAGCAAUGUAACUACACCAAUACAACUCAAUGUGGUUGUUUACUUUAACUUUUCUGCAUCCAGUAUCUAAUGGCGGGUUUACAUUAGGGAGAUCUAUAGCUAUAGAUGGAUUUAUUCACGUGAAAAUAGGUGUAAACGGCAUAUGUAAACGCUUGUGAAUUUCUCACUGGUGAGAAAUCACUAAAGUUGGAUGCAGUUCUACUUUAGGUGAAUAAAUUCACCGAAAAUAUGAAUAUAUUCAUUAUAGAAGUUCACGCUAGUGUAAACGGUUGAUGCGAUUUCUAUAAAUCUCAUCAUAUUUCUUCACAUGAAUAUAUCACUAGUCUAAACCCACCCUAAAGGUCCAUUUAUACGUUGCUAGUAGCUGACUUCACAAUGAGCAGCUACUGACCCGGUGAACUCGCUUGACAAAUGGUUGACUCGCCUUGUCCGUUCACACAAUGUGAGCUGCUGGCAAGAAACUAGAUACUACGGCACGGGUUUACCAGAGAUGCCAGACGAUUUUUCAAAUGUUCAUCAAAUAGUCAGAAACAGCAAUCAGGUCCGAAUUUGUCAGAUGAGGAAAAUGAAAAUGAUAGUAGAUUUGCAGAAGGAACAAAUACGCCUCGAAAACUAAAAUAAUGAAGGAAAAUCUACUUUUUUAUAUCGAUUAUGUAUUCUGUUUCUUAGAACAAUACUUUUUUUUGCAAGUUGUGAGUGAAUUCUGAAUGAAAAUUGUGCCCGAUAAUGAUUUUAUAUUCAGAUUCCCAAUAAAGUUAUCUCAAAAAGAAAA